GUUCUCCCCGGGGAGCUUCAGUGUCAUCAGAGCCUGAAGGAGGAAGCAACUCGGCACCACGUGGCCCAGAGCAGGCUCGUGAGCUGGCCUCGGUCAGCAGGUCGCCUGGGUCUCUGUCUCAGUGCUCAGCAGGGCGAGGACAGGACAGAACGGGCCCCAUCACAGACUGCGCUUAGAAGGAACUCAGUAAAACAAAGACCAUUUUCUUCUGGAGGCAACUCAAGGAGGUAAGACUGUGAGUCAAGCGCCUUGGAGGAUAAGAAGUCCAGGAAAACAUGGAAACAAUGAACAGACGCAAGCACGCAGAGCCGCACGCCCUGACGGUGCACCCCGAGCCAGGUGGCACCCAGCAGCCAGGAAACCCAUGAGUGACAGUGGCCAAGGUGGCCUGGUCGUCUGCAAUUACAGGAACCUGCCUUUCAAGGUUUCCAGCAUCACUGGUACUCAAUAUUGAAGGAAUGAAAAUACGUGAGGAAUAAAAGAAUGAAGAAAGUGACCUCUACCGCAAGGACACAGGCCCUGAAGGCUGAGACUGUGAAGGGGGCAGGCAAAGAUCCACGCCCAGACAGGCCACCCCUGCUCUCCUGGGAA
rnacentral:lncRNA from 1 species